rnacentral:rRNA from 1 species
AUACGUAGGGGGCGAGCGUUGUCCGGAAUGAUUGGGCGUAAAGGGCGCGUAGGCGGCGCGGUAAGUCUGGAGUGAAAGUCCUGCUUUCAAGGUGGGAAUUGCUUUGGAUACUGCCGCGCUUGAGUGCAGGAGAGGUUAUCGGAAUUCCCGGUGUAGCGGUGAAAUGCGUAGAGAUCGGGAGGAACACCAGUGGCGAAGGCGGGUAACUGGACUUCAACUGACGCGGAGGCGCGAAAGGGUGGGGAGCAAACAGGAUUAGAUACCCUGGUAGUCCACACUGUAAACGAGGAAUGCUAGGUGUAAGAGGUAUCGACCCCUUUUGUGCCGGAGUCAACACAAUAAGCAUUCCGCCUGGGGAGUACGGCCGCAAGGUUGAAACUCAAAGGAAUUGACGGGG